rnacentral:lncRNA from 1 species
ACCGCAGCCCAAGCGCUACGUGGCCAGUGGGGAUCUGGAAUCGCGAGGGAAACGCAGAGGCCAGCUCCGGCCCAGGCAUCGGGAGAAAAGGGCGGUUCUGACUGCGACGAUCCCCUAGCAAGUUCAACGUCCCCCCUCCAACGCCCCUCCGCAGAGGCAGACUGGCCAUGCCCAGGGACCCCGGCUCAGGAAGCGCAGCGGGUGUGCGGGGACGUGAGAGACUCCUCCACACACCCACCCCCGAAGUUGCGGCAGAGUAAGGGAGAGAGUGGCGCAAAACCGCCGGAGGGGAGGGGACGGUACUCACACUGGGUGGUCAGCUUGGAGCAGGUCCGUGAUGACGGCCAGGCUCAGGCCACCGCGUUUUGGGAUGCCUGGGGCACCUGCCGCAGCGCGGCGCUUGAAUUAGAAGGCUGCGAGGCAGGAGCGCGGGUCGGUCGGAGCGCCAGAGCUGAGCUGCAGCGCCGCGGAGCCUCGGCCGCCAGAACCGCAGCCGCAGCGGGAACCCGGGAGCGGGCUGGAGGCGGGAGCGCGGCGGCAGCAGCGGCUGCGAGGGAGGCGCCCGCGCCGCAGGCAGCCAGGGGCCUGGCCACAGCCGCCGCCGACACCUGCUGGCCCGGCCGACCGCCAAUCAGAGGCGCCCGCGGCGGGGGCGCGUGCGGAGGCGGGGCGGGGGCGCGUGCCGGGCGCCCGGCAGGAGGGGCGGCGCUCGAUCGCGCCUGCGCCGGGCCAGGGGGUGCCUGCCCGGCCGGUUCCUCCGGAGCUACCCCGGCGCGCCGGCGGCACGCGCGGGCAGGGGCGGGGCGCAUCGGGAGGAGGCGGGACUGGGCUGCGCGCGCCCGGGGCGGGGACCCGCUCCCCUUGCUGGGCGCUCCCUCGCGGCGCAGUGCAGUGCCGGGGCCGCGGGCAGGGAGCCCCCAGGCAAGACUUCAGGUCGUUACUAGCUUUGAAGUAAGACUUUUCCUGUCCCCUGCCCCUGAGCCUCGGGGGCCCGGACUCUCCCUGACCGCAGAGCUAUGGGUCACCCAAAUCCGGCGCUGGCCUGGCUCUACCAAGUCCGCCGCUCGCCGGCCAGAGUGUGGGCGUCCUUCCUCCGGAGCCUCGCCAAAGCUGGCGUGGCGCUUCUCCGCUGACAGCUCUCCUCACUUCACAGUCCUUGGGUAUUUAAAGUCAUCGUGGUAA